AUGGCGACGGCCAAGCCCAUCCUGUACGGCGCCUGGAUCAGCUCUUGCUCUCACCGUGUCCGGAUCGCUCUCAAUCUCAAAGGUGUGGACUAUGAGUACAAGGCAGUCAAUCCUCGGACAGAUCCAGACUAUGAAAAAAUAAACCCGAUCAAAUACAUACCAGCAUUGGUAGAUGGGGACUUUGUUCUAUCUGAUUCUCUCGCUAUCAUGUUGUAUCUGGAAGAUAAGUAUCCUCAGCAUCCUCUCGUACCUAAAGAUAUCAAAACGAAAGGUCUUGAUCUUCAGAUUGCGAACAUAGUUUGCUCAAGCAUCCAACCUCUCCAAGGCUACGGCGUAAUUGGUUUGCAUGAGGGUAGGUUGAGCCCCGAUGAGAGCCUUGAGGUGGUUCAACGUUAUAUUGACAAGGGCUUCAAAGCAAUAGAAAAGCUCUUGGAUGGAUGUGACAGCAAAUAUUGCGUCGGAGAUGAAGUCCAUUUGGGAGAUGUGUGUCUAGCCCCACAGAUCCAUGCCGCCAUCAAUCGCUUCCAGAUUGAUAUGACGAAGUACCCAACCUUGUCGCGACUUCACGAUGCCUACAUGGAAAUUCCGGCAUUUCAAGCCGCACUGCCCCAGAAUCAGCCAGAUGCACCUUCAGCAAAAUAA
rnacentral:rRNA from 1 species